GCGCCAUUAGCUCAAUGGAUAGAGCAUCCGCCUUCUAAGCGGAUGGUCACAGGUUUGAAUCCUGUAUGGCGUGCCA
rnacentral:tRNA from 1 species